CUGGGUCACCGAGCGCUCCGGCGCUCAUCCCCACCCUUCUGCUUCACGCCAACCGUCGGCGCUGGGCGGGCCCCCCGCGAAACGGGGGCCAGCCUGCCGAAAUACCAACCCUGAACAACGUUGCAGCCUGAAGUAAAAAGCAAAUAGUUA
rnacentral:misc_RNA from 1 species